rnacentral:tRNA from 1 species
GCGUCGGUGGUAUAACGGUUAGCAUAGCUGCCUUCCAAGCAGUUGACCCAGGUUCGACUCCCGGCCGAAGCA